rnacentral:rRNA from 1 species
CCUACGGGUGGCAGCAGUGAGGAAUAUUUUUCAAUUUUCUUUAUCCUUACCCCGCCCCGCCGCGUGCGGGAAGAAGGUACAGCGUAUCGUAAACCUCUUUUGUCAGGGAACAAAGGCGGGGACUAGUCCCCGGAUGAGGGUACCUGAAGAAAAAGCAUCGGCUAACUCCGUGCCAGCAGCCGCGGUAAUACGGAGGAUGCGAGCGUUAUCCGGAUUUAUUGGGUUUAAAGGGUGCGCAGGCGGCCUGUUAAGUCAGCGGUAAAAGCCCGGGGCUCAACCCCGGCGAGCCGUUGAAACUGGCGGGCUGGAGUUGGAGAGAAGUACGCGGAAUGUGCGGUGUAGCGGUGAAAUGCUUAGAUAUCGCGCAGAACCCCGAUUGCGAAGGCAGCGUACCGGCUCCACACUGACGCUGAGGCACGAAAGCGUGGGUAUCGAACAGGAUUAGAUACCCUAGUAGUC